GAGGGAUCACAGAAUUCCAUUCAGGUCAGCAGGAGGGAUCACAGAAUUCCAUUCAGGUCAGCAGGAGGCAUCACAGAAUUCCAUUCAGGUCAGCAGGAGGCAUCACAGAAUUCCAUUCAGGUCAGCAGGAGGGAUCACAGAAUUCCAUUCAGGUCAGCAGGAGGGAUCAGCCAAUUAAUUAUACUGCUGCGUGAACAUUCUAACUGUAGGUGGCAGUAAAUCACCAACCUUGUCUCUGUUCCUGUUUAGACUAAACACACUGCAGCACAGUAUGCAGCUACACUUUAGCACAGUAGGUGGUGGUAUGAUCCUAUUCAGUUCAUUUAUGAAGUGUCACUAAACUCAUAGAAGUAAAGAACCCGCAAUGGCUCUGGCCUUGUUGUCACAGAAGUGGCCAUUGCUGAAGAUAGAAGAUGAGCUGUCUAGUACAUCUCUAUGGUAUGGGGU
ensembl:lncRNA